GGAAGACCCAGGACUAGGUGGAGAGAUUACAUCUCCACACUGGCCUGGGAACGCCUCGGGGUCGCCCAGUCAGAGCUGGUUAAUGUGGCUCGGGAUAGGGAAGUUUGGGGCCCCCUGCUGGAGCAGCUGCCCCCGCGACCCGACUUCGGAUAAGCGGUUGAAGAUGGAUGGAUGGAUGGAUUAAACAUUUUAUAUACAUAGGCACUUUUUUCCCUUUAAAAUAAUGUAUAUUUGAUGUGGUUCUCUAAUCUCUUAAUGCAGAUUUAACAUUUUGGACCUUUUUCACAGACCGUGGUGAUGCCUUUCCCCCAAAAAUAUGUUUUUUGAUUAAUGUACAUUUAUGCCAACAUACUUUACUUUAUAAUACUUGGCCAUUCAAUUAAAGAAAAAGUUAUCACUAUUGUGGGAAGGAGUGAUGUUGAAUUUAAUAUUUUUCAUAUAUUUUUCACUGCUGUACUGUGAUUAUGGUUAUAUCAGGUUACAUGAGUCAGGCAAAGUGAUAUCAGAUAACACUGGCAGUACAAGACAGGAAGAAAUUGCAGCAACCAUGUCAGAGGAUAAUGCUGAAAGGGAGGAAAGGGCCUCAACAUCACUCACUAAUGUUUUCUCAGCCAGUACCAGCCCUUCAGCAGAGCCUGCCACUGAAGGUGUCUCCAUCUAAAUGAACAUACCACUGAACAUAGCUUUCUCUGUAUUAGCUUUAGCACACAAAUCAUGUUUUUCUUAAACUACUAAAAAACAGGCAAGCUAUCAGGGAUAUUAAUCAUAUCACAGUUAUUCGUAUCUUUUGAAGAUUUGUUGUCAUCACUUGUCUGUGUUUUCAUAGAGUGGAAGAUUGAGCCUGAUCUUGAAACAGCUGCCCGGCUGUUUCGAAGACAUACUAUAUCUUAAAGAAUGCUGAGGACAAACCAGACCUAGUUGUUAAGCUAGAUCUACACAGCUGUGAAAAGGAUCGGGAACGGGAAAUGUUAACUUUUUAUAAACGUCCAAAUAUUGAUUGGACAAGUCCGUUAACUGUAAAACUUAAAGGUGAUGCUGCAUUAGGGGAUGGAGUAACACGGCACUUUUUCACAUUGAUAAUGGAAAAGCUCCACAAUGGAUUUGAACUUGACAUUGAUAACUGUGGCAAAACACUUUUAUUCAACGGAGAAGAUGAUCACAAGGUUCCUUCGACAUCUAGAGCACUUUUGGAUGGUGACCUGUUCAGAGUUGUUGGAAGAAUGAUUGGGCAUUCAUUUAUUAAUGGAGGUCCACUCUACUCAGGACUUAGUGCAGCAUUCUUCCCCCUUUUAAGUGGUACUGGAAAGCCAGAAUGAAUUGAAUCCGAACGAAAUGGACAAUAUCAACAAUCUGGCCAUCAGUUGGGACCUGCCAGCAGUCAGCAACAUCAACAAAAGAUGGUUGGCAGAAACCAUUCUCUACCAUGGGGUAUGUAUUAUCUUAUUUAAAUGUGAAAGCUGUUAACUGCCUUUGGAUAUGCUACUUGCACUGUCUCUACCACUACAAAAGAAAAAUAAUUUUCACGUAAGUAGUUAGGACAAAAGUUUAUCAUGGUAUUUAUCAUGGCUUGCAUGGCAUUUGUCCUACAGGUGAAACUCGAAAAAUUAGAAGAUCGUGCAAAAGUUGAUGAUUAUGGCUUACAGCUUAUAAAAACCCCAAAUUCAAAAUCUCAGAAAAUUAGAAUAUUACAUGAAAUCAAUUAAAAAAAAGGAUUAUAAAUACAGAA